rnacentral:rRNA from 1 species
ACUCCUACGGGAGGCAGCAGUGGGGAAUUUUGGACAAUGGGCGAAAGCCUGAUCCAGCAAUGCCGCGUGAGUGAAGAAGGCCUUCGGGUUGUAAAGCUCUUUUGUCAGGGAAGAAACGGUGAAAGCUAAUAUCUUUUGCUAAUGACGGUACCUGAAGAAUAAGCACCGGCUAACUACGUGCCAGCAGCCGCGGUAAUACGUAGGGUGCAAGCGUUAAUCGGAAUUACUGGGCGUAAAGCGUGCGCAGGCGGUUUUGUAAGUCUGAUGUGAAAUCCCCGGGCUCAACCUGGGAAUUGCAUUGGAGACUGCAAGGCUAGAAUCUGGCAGAGGGGGGUAGAAUUCCACGUGUAGCAGUGAAAUGCGUAGAUAUGUGGAGGAACACCGAUGGCGAAGGCAGCCCCCUGGGUCAAGAUUGACGCUCAUGCACGAAAGCGUGGGGAGCAAACAGGAUUAGAUACCCGGGUAGUCCCAUG